rnacentral:rRNA from 1 species
UACGGAGGGGGCAAGCGUUGUUCGGAAUUACUGGGCGUAAAGGGCGCGUAGGCGGCCUGCUAAGUCGGACGUGAAAUCCCUGGGCUCAACCCAGGAACUGCGUCCGAUACUGGUUGGCUUGAAUCCGGGAGAGGGAUGUGGAAUUCCAGGUGUAGCGGUGAAAUGCGUAGAUAUCUGGAGGAACACCGGUGGCGAAGGCGGCAUCCUGGACCGGUAUUGACGCUGAGGCGCGAAAGCCAGGGGAGCAAACGGG